AUUGAACGCUGGCGGCAGGCCUAACACAUGCAAGUCGAGCGGAUGAAGGGAGCUUGCUCCUGGAUUCAGCGGCGGACGGGUGAGUAAUGCCUAGGAAUCUGCCUGGUAGUGUGGGAUAACGUCCGGAAACGGGCGCUAAUACCGCAUACGUCCUGAGGGAGAAAGUGGGUGAUCUUGGUACCUCCGCCUAUCGUAUCGGCCAAGGUCGGGUUAGCUAGUUGGUGGGGUAAAGGCCUACCAAGACGAGGUUCUGUAACUGUUCUGAGAGGAUGAGCAGUCACACUGGAACUGGGACACGGUCAAGAGUCAUACGGGAGGCAGAAGUGGGGAAUAUUGGACAAUGGGAGAAGGCGUGAUACAGCCACGCCGAGUGUGUGAAGAAGAUCUUCGGAUUGUAAAGCACUUUAAGUUGGGAGGAAGGGCAGUAAGUUAAUACCUUGCUGUUUUGACGUUACCAGCAGAAUAAGCACCGGCUAACUUCGUG
rnacentral:rRNA from 1 species